CCCCCUCCCAGCCAGCCCAGAUUUCAAAUUCGGAUCUCAUCAGGAUUGGGCCCGAGGAUGAGAUAUAGCUCUUGCUUCCCUCCGCCACCGCCGCUGCCGCCACCGGUUGACCUCUGAUUAUGGAACUUCGAUCGACCUCUCCGGGCUGGUCUCGGCACGUCGAGGCCGGAUCUGGCCUCGUCUUGGCCAUAUCUAGCCGGGAACAGUGAGAUAUGGGCGUCGGGGAGGGUCGCGGAAACCCUAGCAAGCGAGCGAAAGAGAGCGAGAGAGCCGACGACUCUGGGCAGCUCGAGAUCCUCCGUCCCAAGGAGCCAGAGCUAAUCAAUCAUGGAGAGAUCGCUAACUGAAGCCUGAAUCGUUAGUCUCUCUGACGUCAACUUUGCCUUCUGCCGCUGAUGUUCUUCACCUGUGAUGUUGGCUCUUGCAGACUUUCAAGCGAAGAAAUGGAGGCCGCAACAAGCACGGUCGCAGCCACGUCAAGUUCAUCCGCUACUCCAACUGCGGGAAAUGCGGGUCUAGCUGGAAAGGAGCAAAAGAGUCUUCAACCGAGAAGUUUCUCUUGUUAAUAACAUUGUUAGUGGUACAGUUGAUAAUAUUAGAUUGAGACCUCAGAGUUCGGGGGGACUUAAAUUUUAUUUUUCUUUGUUGGUUUUGAUAGUACUCUCUUGGAUGAGUGGCGAGGUACUAUUAUUCAUACGUUGCGCAAAAAUUGUAAGAAAUAUAUUGCCAAAAGCUGAGAGGGAGGAGAGCACAACCACGAAGUUAAACCCACACAGUAAUAGAGAGAGUAUAUCUUACAAUGGGCGUUGGAGAGUAUCCUAUCCUGCAAUAAUAUAAGAGCCAUCUCCAUUUUCGAUA